rnacentral:rRNA from 1 species
GACGAACUUUGGCGGCGUGCUUAACACAUGCAAGUCGAACGGUAAGGCUCCAGCUUGCUGGGGUACACGAGUGGCGAACGGGUGAGUAACACGUGGGUGACCAGCCCUGCACUUCGGGAUAAGCCUGGGAAACUGGGUCUAAUACCGGAUAGGACCGCACCGUGAGGGUGUGGUGGAAAGUUUUUUCGGUGUGGGAUGGGCCCGCGGCCUAUCAGCUUGUUGGUGGGGUAAUGGCCUACCAAGGCGGCGACGGGUAGCCGGCCUGAGAGGGUGGACGGCCACAUUGGGACUGAGACACGGCCCAGACUCCUACGGGAGGCAGCAGUGGGGAAUAUUGCACAAUGGGCGGAAGCCUGAUGCAGCGACGCCGCGUGGGGGAUGACGGCCUUCGGGUUGUAAACUCCUUUCACCAUCGACGAAGGGUUUCUGACGGUAGAUGGAGAAGAAGCACCGGCUAACUACGUGCCAGCAGCCGCGGUAAUACGUAGGGUGCGAGCGUUGUCCGGAAUUACUGGGCGUAAAGAGCUCGUAGGUGGUUUGUCGCGUCGUCUGUGAAAUUCCGGGGCUUAACUCCGGGCGUGCAGGCGAUACGGGCAUAACUUGAGUACUGUAGGGGAGACUGGAAUUCCUGGUGUAGCGGUGAAAUGCGCAGAUAUCAGGAGGAACACCGGUGGCGAAGGCGGGUCUCUGGGCAGUAACUGACGCUGAGGAGCGAAAGCAUGGGGAGCGAACAGGAUUAGAUACCCUGGUAGUCCAUGCCGUAAACGGUGGGCGCUAGGUGUGGGUUUCCUUCCACGGGAUCCGUGCCGUAGCUAACGCAUUAAGCGCCCCGCCUGGGGAGUACGGCCGCAAGGCUAAAACUCAAAGGAAUUGACGGGGGCCCGCACAAGCGGCGGAGCAUGUGGAUUAAUUCGAUGCAACGCGAAGAACCUUACCUGGGCUUGACAUAUACAGGAUCGCGCCAGAGAUGGUGUUUCCCUUGUGGCUUGUAUACAGGUGGUGCAUGGUUGUCGUCAGCUCGUGUCGUGAGAUGUUGGGUUAAGUCCCGCAACGAGCGCAACCCUUGUCUUAUGUUGCCAGCACGUUGUGGUGGGGACUCGUAAGAAACUGCCGAGGUUAACUCGGAGGAAGGUGGGGAUGACGCCAAAUCAUCAUGCCCCUUAUGUCCAGGGCUUCACACAUGCUACAAUGGUCGGUACAGUGGGUUGCCAGUCCGUGAGGGCGAGCUAAUCCCGCAAAGCCGGUCUCAGUUCGGAUCGGGGUCUGCAACUCGACCCCGUGAAGUCGGAGUCGCUAGUAAUCGCAGAUCAGCAACGCUGCGGUGAAUACGUUCCCGGGCCU